AUUUUCUGGGGUUUAAAUACACUCUAGAGGUUUCCUGUUGGUUACUUGGUGUACACCCUAUGUAAAUGAAGUAGUGGCCCGCAAUCAGUCUGAUUGGUUGCAGGAGGGGAACAAUCAGAGACUGAAGCAAAGUUACAGUUACACCCUAUGCAAACGACUAAUUGGUUGCAGAAAGUGAUGAAUCAGAGGCUGAAGUGAAGUUACAAAGUUAUACUCCUAUGCAAAGGAAGACUUGGCCUGUGACCAGCCUGAUUGACUGCAGGAGGGGACCAGUCAGAGGAAUGAAUCACAGUUCAUCUCGCAGAUUUAUGGCAUGCCUACAGAAAAAGUACCUUAUGAUGCAAACCUGAAAGUUUAAAUAAUCUCCUGAAAGUUCCACAAUCAGCUGCAGAGAACUCCAGGAGCUGUUUUUAAAGAAGAUUAAGUUUUCAGCUUUCCUCCACUGUUUUGGGAAACGUCACCUUCUUAUCUUGGAAGAGUAAUCUCAAAAUUGAAGCAUCUUAGAUCCAACAAGAAUUAAAAGGAUGGGAAGUCCUUGCAGCCAUCCAAUAGAGUCAGAAGACUUUGGAUUUUGGAGUCUGUGAGAUUAUCUUACAGAGCAAGACUGCAGAUCAAGAUUUUCCAACGUGGUGCUGACUUUUUUGAGAACAGUUAAUGAGAACUAGGAAAGUCCUUGCAGACCAUCCAGUCCAGCGGCUUUCAAAUGGAAAAUGUGAAAGGACAACAGAAUCACAUGGAUUCUUUUCUGAACUGCUUUUUUCCAGUGAUGCCAUAUUCUAUAAGACUUCAUGUGAAGGAUGUACUCACAUCCCAACAAAUUGAAAAUGCUGACCAAUCCCAGCACAGCCAACUCGAAUUUGCUCCUUCAUCAAAGUGACCAGCACCUCAUUUCUUCCUCUUUAGAAUUUAUAGAGUCCUAUGGCUAUUGAUAUCUAACAUCCUGGCUUCACUCACAUGGAUGAGCCCCACCUGGAAUGCCUAGAAGACGUGGGACAGCUGGAUCUCUCUCCACACGGUUUUUCAUUGUUGCCUCAGGUUCCAAUAAAAGCAAAAGCUGCAAGGUCUUCUGAGGCAAAGACUUAGAAAUACCACAAUGUUACUUCUGCUGCAUUCUGUUGAUAAAAGAAUCCCACAAUGCCAGCUUCAUUUAAAGGGGUAAAGAUAUAGAUUAUUCACCUUCGAUGGGAGGAACUGCAAAUGAUGUAAUUAGUGAUAAUUUUUAAUAUACUGUAAUGUAUUGACUUAUCUUUAAAAAAUGAAAAAAUAAACCAAAAACUAAAAGCAAAACAAAACUAUAAUAGAAAACAAUUGCUUCUGGAGGAGGAAUGCAAUGGGGAAAAGGUUAUAGAAACAAAAGCUACAUUUUAUUUGAAUAUACCUGUUUUAGGUUUGACCCUGGUAACAUUUGAUAUUUUACAUAAUUAUAUCAUUAUUUAAAAUUAAAUUUUAAAACACCAAUACCCAUAACAGAAAAGUUUGAUAAAAGAGGUGAAAUAUAAAUAUAAAUAUAUUAAGUUUGCAUUAUAAUCACACAGAGAUGAAUUGUGUCAGUUACUCAAACACAGAUAUUUGACUAUACAACCUUUAUAAGAUAUCCUAAGGACAAAAAAACAUGCAAAAAUAUAUAUUGAACUGUUUUAAAAUUAUAUUUUUUUGCAAUUGAAUUGUUAUUGUGAGACAGGUGUGUACAUAUUUUAAGAUCAAGCAAGUUAGUAAGCUUGUUGACAUUAUUGUAAAUGGGAUUUGUCCCAUGGGGUAAAGAAGAUAUAAUAGCAAGUAGAAGAAAAUAAAUGAAAACCCAUUAAUAUGAGUUUGAAGUUAAAGUAUCAGUAUGAAGUCAUGAAGCAUUUUCCCAACAAAAAGAAAAAAAUAGUUUCCUAGUUCUAAUCACUUAAAAGUAUAUAGAAACAACAUAAAACUCAAUAUCAAGAGGAAAUGUAACUCAGAUGUGCUCUGUAGACAUUUCCCCUAAAAGGAGUUGAAGUUCAUUGCAAACAAGUAUCUAAUUCCAGCUUGGGGUUUGAAUAUUGUACAAGAUGGGCCUGGAAUAUCAAAUUCUCUUACUAAAAAGCAAGGCAGAUUUGAAAGACUAUUAGGAUGCAUCAAAGAGACUCAGAGGAGUCACCCUGAAGAGGUUACCAUUGGCCAAAGGUAAAAAUUUGAGAAUCAAUAAGAAAAUCAAAGGCAGUAGAUUAAAAUGCCUCAAAUAUGCUUAAAUCUAUCUGUUCCUAAUAAUGUUAAUUUAAAAAUAAUGUUGUCAUUGGACAGCUUUGAAGAAUGUUAGGGAUCCAUAAGAAUGUACAGUUUUGAAUUAAAGAGAAGAAUUGAGCAUUUAUCCUGUUUUUCCUUUAUGGAUUAUGUCUAAGGAUAACCAAAUGUUGAUGACAGAAAAUCCUUUUUAAAGAUACCUUUAGCCAAAGAAUGAAGAAAGAAUGAUAGAAUUGAAAUGUUACCAUUUUUGCAACCCCUAAUGAAAUAAUGAAUCUAGCCAGUUGUUAUCAAUUGUUGCUAACAUAAAAAAUGAGAGACAAACAGACACGCCUCUUCAUAGAAGUAUAUGAUACCACCUAUAAAAUAUUACUGCCAGAAAAAAAAAUCAAACUUUGGAUCUAAUUACCAAUUAGAUCAGCCUUUAGCUCUAACAACCAAUUUGCAAUAUUUACAGGAGAUACAGGAGCAUGUUGAAUGACACCAUAAAAAGGCAAUCAGUAAAAUUUAGUUUAUUAUAAACUAUAUAGGAUAAGUGAUCCAGUUGCUGCAAUAAAUAUAUUACAGAAGGUGUGUAUUGGCGGGUGGGAGAUAAAGGAGCAAUCUAUAGAUAAAAACAGACUUAAGGGACAUAAAAACAACUUUAAUGUAUGGAUCUUAUUUGGAUCCUUAAGAAAACAAAUUGUAAAGUAGCAUGAGACAUUUGAAGAAAAUAGAAAUAGUUUUUAAGUGUGGUAAUGAUAUCGUGGUUAUACGUUGUUAAAGAAUGCCUUUAGAGGUAAAUACAGAAAUAUUUGCAGAUGAACUAAAAUGAUGUCUAGAAUUUACAUAAAAGUAAUCCUGUAGGGAGAGUGAAGAAGUGGAAAGAGUGGAUAUUGAUAGGCAAGAGUAGCUAUAAUUUGACCACUGCUGAAUGUUGUUGAUGGAUAAAUGAAAAUGUAUUAUAUAUUUUUUUACUUAUAUAUUUGAAGAUUUUGAUUUUUAAUAAAGUGAAGCUGAGAAAGGGAAAAUCAUUUUUCUUGAUGUCAGGCUUUGAACAGAGAUAAAAGUAAAACCACUGUAGACCAAAGUGGAAAAAUAAAAAGCAAACAUAAACUUUUAUGCUUUCAGCUCUCUAUUACUGGCUUGUAUUUUUUUUUUAAUCUUUAUUUUAAGUUCCAGGGUACAUGUGCAGGAUGUGCAGGUUUGUUGCUUUUGUAAAUGUGUGCCAUGGUGGUUUGCUACAUCUAUCAACCCAUCAUCUAGGUAUUAAGCCCAGAAUGCAUUACCUAUUUUUCCUAAUGCUCUCCCUCCCCCCACUCUACCCCCCAACAGGUCCCAGGAUGUGUUAUUUCCUUCCCCGUGUGCAUGUGUUCUUAUUGUUCAGUUCCCACAUAAAAGUGAGAACAUAUGGUGUUUGGUUUUCUAUUUCUGCAUUAGUUUGCUGAGGAUAAUGGAUUCUAGAUCCAUUCAUGGCCCUGCAAAGGACAUGAUCUCAUUCCUUUUUAUGGCUGCAUAGUAUUCCAUGGUGUACAGGUACUUUUGAUUGCCUAUUUCAUUUACUUAAACAUAUUCAACCUUUCAAAAAAAUAUUGUUGGUACUUGAAAAUUACAAUAAAUUUGGUGUUUUGGGGUCUGAUUCUGCUCUGUUCUUUCUGUAACUCACACUCUUUAAGAACUUACUUAUAGUUUACUAGGUUCUCAAAAACUUGCUUAAACCAGGGAAAAAGUUAAAACAACACCACUUUAUAAAAAAUGUUGAAAAUAAAGUAAGAUGACUUUUAAGUCAGAAAAAACUGAGGCUACCACUUACGAGUUUGCCACUUACUUAAAUGGCUUACUUCUUUUUUAUUCUUUUUUAAAUUAAGAAUUUUAAGAGCAGUUUUAGGUUGACAGCAAAAUUAAGAGGAAGACACAGAGAUUUCCCAAAUACUCCCUCACCCCACACAUCAAUAGCCUCUCCAAUUAUUAACAUUUCCCAUCAAAGCAGUCUUUUUUUCUACAACAGAUGAACCCACACAUCAUUAUCACCCAAAGUCCAUUGCUGGCAUUAGGUUCACCCUUCAUAUUAUACAUCCUAUCAGUUUGGAUAAACGUAUAAUGAUAUGUAUCUACCAUUACACCAUCAUAGUAUCAUACAGAAUACUUUGACUGUUCUAAAAGUCCUCUGUGCUCCACCCAUUUAUCCCUCCCUCUUCUCUGUCUCCUGGCAACCAUUUAUUUUUUACUGUCUCUGUAUUUUUGCCUUUUUCAUAAUGUCAUAUAGUUGGAUUCAUACAGUGUGUAGCCUUUUCAGAUUGUCUUCUUUUAUUUAGUAAUAUGCAUUUAA
rnacentral:lncRNA from 10 species